rnacentral:rRNA from 1 species
GAUGAACGCUGGCGGCGUGCCUAAUACAUGCAAGUCGAGCGAACAGACGCGGAGCUUGCUUUUCUGACGUUAGCGGCGGACGGGUGAGUAACACGUGGAUAACCUCCCUAUCAGACUGGGAUAACUUCGGGAAACCGGAGCUAAUACCGGAUAAUCUUUUGAACCGCAUGGUUCAAUAGUGAAAGACGGUGUUGCUGUCACUUAUAGAUGGAUCCGCGCUGCAUUAGCUAGUUGGUAAGGUAACGGCUUACCAAGGCAACGAUGCGUAGCCGACCUGAGAGGGUGAUCGGCCACACUGGAACUGAGACACGGUCCAGACUCCUACGGGAGGCAGCAGUAGGGAAUCUUCCGCAAUGGGCGAAAGCCUGACGGAGCAACGCCGCGUGAGUGAUGAAGGUCUUCGGAUCGUAAAACUCUGUUAUUAGGGAAGAACAGAUGUGUAAGUAACUGUGCACAUCUUGACGGUACCUAAUCAGAAAGCCACGGCUAACUACGUG